UGCCAGCCGACGCGGUAAGACAGAGGGUGCAAACGUUGUUCGGAAUUACUGGGCAUAAAGCGCACGUAGGCGGUUGAGUAAGUCAGAUGUGAAAGCCCCCGGCUCAACCGGGGAAUUGCAUAUGAUACUGCUUGACUAGAGGACGGUAGGGGUGAGUGGAACUCCAGGUGGAGCGGUGAAAUGCGUAGAUAUCUGGAGGAACACCGGUGGCGAAAGCGGCUCACUGGACCGUAUCAGACGCUGAGGUGCGAAAGCUAGGGUAGCGAACGGGAUUAGAUA
rnacentral:rRNA from 1 species